GCCCGGUUAGCUCAUUCGGUAGAGCGCGUGACUUUCAAUGCUGAGGUUAAGGGUUCAUGACCCUUAUCGGGCG
rnacentral:tRNA from 1 species